UUAAGAUAGAUUAGUCCUGAUUCCCACAGUUGAUUCAGUCGAUCUCCUCUCUCCUUAGACUCUCCACCUGUAGUUGUUAGAAUCUGAACAUUGACAAUUGUUUUGCAGCUAAACAGACAGUAAUUCAGAUGUGCUUCAUGUUUGGGCAAUUCAGCUAGUAUCCAGUAAUCCUUGGCUUUUUUUUUUUAGCCUUUUACAUUGUUGGAACAUCCAUCUCAGUACUGCUGGUCUUCAGAAAUGUUUCUGCUGUAGAGAGACCUGGUUUAUGACUUAAAGAUUUUAAAAAUCAACAUAAUCUAACUUAAGAUUCAAGCUAUAAUGGAAAACUGCCCAUGUAAGGAAUGCGGGACUUGGGUCACUGAAUUCUAUUACAGCUUUGUGCCCAACUUCUUUCUUUAAAGUUUUUUUUGUCAAGAAUGUGUUGUCAUCUUCCAGUAAUUCAUACCGUCACUUACCUUAUUUGUAUUUCUUUAGUGUAAUUGAGGCUCCAGGGAUCUCUGCGUAGCGUGUUUCUCUUUCCUCCCGUUAGAUUUACCAGCCAGUUAGAGAGCAACGCAGGUCCAUGUCCAAAACCAGAAUACGCAGAAGCAACAGCAGCUUAAGUACAGAGGUUAUAAAAGGUAAUCAUUAAACCCGUUCUCAGCCAAGAAGCUUUGAGAUGGGAACCACAGGAGGAAUUAUAUUCUACAGCCAUGGGAGAAGACUCCUUCCCUCUCAACUGAAUAUGUAUGAAGAGAUUGAUGAGUUCAGAUUUCAAGGGACUUCAGAUUGAAGCACUCUGUGAGCUGGUCCUGUCAGUGUAGUUUGAACCUUUUCAAAUACUCUUUACUAAUUAUAUCAUAAAAAGUAAUUUUCAACUUUAAUUCAGGAAACAACAAGAAAAUAGCAUAUACAUUUAGCUUUUAUUACCAUUAUCACUAAUAAUAAAGGUUAAUGUUUGUUGGGGUUGGUAUUUAUUGCUUGCAGUAAUGCACGUAUUCUUCUUUGGACUGGUGGUUCUUAAACAAAUGUUAAUGACUGUUCUAACGUGGAGGUUUUACUUAUAGCUUAGUGGUUAUCUCAGAAUAGAUACUUUCCAUUCUAACCUUGCUACCUAACAGGUUACUUCUUUUUUAUCAGAGGAAUGGUGUGUUUACUUGCACUUGCUCUUCUUUGACUCCUGCUGUUAACAGAUGUGCUCUAAGUUAUCUCACUUCUGUUGACCUUAAGUGCAUUUCAUUUUUCUUCUGAGUAAUUCCAGGUAUGUUUUGAGUGGAAUGUAAGACAACAGUCUUUCUGGAUAGCUGUGCCAAGCAGGUCAUACUCACAGUUGCAAGUUCCUUGCGUCUCGUGUCAGUCAGUUGUACUGGCUGGCCAUAUAGUGCUGUGCUUUGACUUGUAGCUAGAGCAGUUUUGAUGUCACAGUAGCAUUUUGGCUAGUG
rnacentral:lncRNA from 1 species